CCUGACGCAGCGACGCCGCGUGCGGGAUGACGCUUUUCGGAGUGUAAACCGCUGUUCGUGGGGACGAAGCACUGACGGUACCCACGGAGGAAGGCCCGGCUAACUACGUGCCAGCAGCCGCGGUAAUACGUAGGGGUCGAGCGUUGUCCGGAGUUACUGGGCGUAAAGCGUGCGCAGGCGGCUCAUCGCGCUCGGCGUGAAAGCCCCCGGCUCAACCGGGGAGGGUCGUCGAGGACGGAUGGGCUUGAGGGUAUCAGGGGUUGGUGGAAUUCCCGGUGUAGUGGUGAAAUGCGUAGAGAUCGGGAGGAACACCCGUGGCGAAGGCGGCCAACUGGGAUACACCUGACGCUGAGGCACGAAGGCGUGGGGAGCGAACGGGAUUAGAUACCCCGGUAGUCCACGCAGUAAACGAUGCAGACUAGGCGUGGGGGGACUUGACCCCCUCCGUGCCGGAGCUAACGCGGGAAGUCUGCCGCCUGGGGAGUACGGCCGCAAGGCUAAAACUCAAAUGAAUUGACGG
rnacentral:rRNA from 1 species